CUAGUGGCAGAGAGCAGGACAGCUGCUCCUGGGGCUACAGGUACUUCAAUAUCAGAGCCCCAUGACAUUUCUGCAGAGUCCACUCCUCAAAGUCGGACUCAUUCUCCCCUCGGAAAGCUUCCUCAUUCCCUCGAAUUAUCUCCUAAAACCGGUGAAGGCCUGUAUAUAGAUGUCCGGCAAAAACUAUCAGCCUAAAAAAAUCCUGAAGGAACUUCAGGCAGGCAGGAAUUCCCAGCCCAGCUCAGCCUGCCCCUUCAGAAGUGGGAAAGCUUUGUGGACCCCGGACAGCAGACAAAGAGAAGAGAACAGAAGAACCAAAGGGGGUGAUACACAUCUUAACUGCAAAAAAAUGUCCUGAAAAAUGCAGCUCUCAUGACUCCUGAUACUUUGCUGGUUGAGUGGCCCAAACCGAUCUCUCAGAGUGGAUCACGUUAGGUAAGAUGGCUUGUAGAAACAGCAGAAACUGUACAAUGUGGAGUCUUGCACUCAUCAAUCUGAGGUACUUGUUUAGGAAAAAGCCAAGACGGUUUCACAGACCAUUUACUUUUAUAUGACAUUUAGGGCUGACAGCUCUACCCGGUGACCACUGGUUCCUCCGUGCAAGCAUAAUCGGUACAGUAAGGCUCAAGGUUCAAUGGACACACAAGCCAAACACUCCAAAGGGAUGUGGACGGACCUACGAGCUCUGGAGGUGGUUGGCUUUCUCAGAACUCCUCCCAAUAGCCUAUAAUGGGAAAAGGAAAGGGGGCAGCUUUGAGAUAGACUAGCAGAGGCAAACCUCUGGGGGCCCUGGCUAGCCAACAGGGCAAUGGCCCCCUUAGGCUCCUGCUCUACAAAGGCCAUGGAAAUCCCAGUUUGUAAGUCUCAGCCAGGGAGGCCUUGUUGUGCUGGACUGGAGCGCCCCCUGCUGGCCCCCGCCUAGCGAGCCCACCCAGCCCUCAGAAGGCCCCUGACAAAAGUCUGGAGCUUAAUGAGAGGCCCCGUGUCUACAAUUCUGUUGUUUGUAUCACAUCCAUACUUACAUACUUUUUAUUUACAUAAAAAUGUUACUUGGCAUCUCCCACACACACACUUGCCAUUUUUUAUUUUAUUAAUAUUGUUUGGGGUCUUUAGAAUAUACAGAACAUAUGAAAAUAAAUCCUAUAUAAUCCCAUCAGCAAAAAUAACUACUUUUAACAACAUUCAAUACGCACAAUUUGUAUCUAGUUGAGAUCAUGCUGUGUGGCAGAGUCAUUGCCCAUCUACCCUCUGAUCCAUUUCCUGCCGUUGGCUCUGGAUAGAUCUGGCUUCUGGAUAGAUCUGGCUAAUGGGAGGCCCUGGUAAAAGAUUGGAAAGUGAGAAGAAGGGAUAAACCAAGAUAUUUGUCCCUCUCUGCUUUGAGGAGGAAUUUUCCACCAGUGGCUGCAUCUCCUUUAUGAUUCUAGAUUCCACCAACUGCCCAACUUCUGGGCACCUUCUCCAGCCCUGGGAGUGAAGUGGCUUUCUGCUGUUGCUCAUUUCUGGGUUGCUUCAACAUAAUGAUUGGCUUCUCUGCCUUUCGAAUCACCUGUGAAGCAUUUCCUGUAAUAAAUUCCCUUCGUUCAAAAUACCUAGAGUGGUUUGCUUUCUCAAUUAGAUCCUGACUGUUAUACAGUCACAUCAAUAAUUUUGGGUUAAUUUAUCACUCAAUAUUAUUCUGUAAAAGUUCUGUAUCUUUAGUUCUUUACAAACUGUUCUUAAAAGCUGCAUAAUAUCUCAUUACACCACACUGUAAUGGACUUGCAUCAUGUUUCCAAUGACUGCUAAAAUGUAACACUGGUAUGGAAAUCCUUAUGCAAACAUUUAUAUCUACAUUUCUAAGUGUUUGUUUCAACUAGAUUCUUGGAAAGGAAUUAAAAGGAAUGAUUCAUUUAAAGAUUCUUGGUAAAUAUUGCCCCAAAAAUCCCCAGGAAGAAAAGUUAGACCAGUUCACAACCCAGCCAGAGGUCUAAGAGAGUUUCUCUCACUAUGCCCUUUGCAACUCUGAUCACAUUCAUUUAUUUGAUAAUUUGCUAGACAAAAAAAAAAAAAAAGGCAUCUUGUUUCUGUUUUAAUUUAGAUGUGUAUUGUUUUGUUAAUGAGGUAGAACAUUUUUCAGGUGUUUAUUAAUUGUGUGCAUUUCCUCUUUUGUAAGUUAUUUUACUACGUAGCUCUUAGUGAUUCUCUUAUUGACUGGGGCAUCAGUCAGUGUUCUUUGAUGCUAACAAGAGUUGGCUCUAACUAAAUUAAGCAGAAAUGGGGUUUACUGAAAGCAUUUAUCAUGCGGCUUCAAAAUGGAUGGGAAGGCUGGAAAAUUAGGUUCAAAAAAUAGAAGCCAGGAAACCUGGUAGGCUGGAAAUACGACCAAGAACCUAUCCUAAAAUAGUCUGAAUAAAUGCCAGUGUUGAUGCCGCUCUCCUGAGUGUUGUUCUUGGUACUGCUGCCACCCACCACCGAAUUCUGGAUGCUACCAGCAGAAUGAACAUUAAACUGCUCUUGUAUCUUUGUCAUUCCCUGUCAUUCCUUGCGAAUUCUGCCUCAGUUCCUUCCCUCUUCAAGAGGAGGAAUCUAUUUCUCCACCUCUUUGAAUCUGGGCUGGCAUUUCAACUCGCUUUAGGCAAUAAAAGUGAGACUGACGUCGUACAAUUUCUGAGGAAGCCCUAAAUGCCCCUUCCAGGAAUCCAGCCACCAUGCUGUGAGGAAGCCUAAGAUGGGCCACAGAGAGUGAGAGGCCCGGGCAUUCUCCAGACAUUUCAGCUUCAGUCAAACUGCCCCAGCUGAAGCCACAUGCAACAGAGAUGGGUCAUCCCACCAAGCUCUAAUCAACUUACAGGACUGUGUACAAAUGAAAGAUGAUGGUUGUUUUAAGCAGCUGAGUCUUGUGGUGGUUUGUUACGCAGCAAUAGAUAACUGAGAUGUUGUCUUUCCGUGCAAACCCUGGGCAGGAACAGCCAAUUGGCAAAGCCCUGGUCCAUGCCCCAUCUGCAAGGGAGCAGGGAGAAUGGACAUUUCCACUUCAGUAGAGGGCAGGGGGUGGGGAGAUAUGCCCACAGCAAGUUCCCACAGUGAGGUAUUUCCCAAAUAGAAAGAGGGGGUUCAGAUGAUAGGGAAAUUAAAAAAAAAUCUGUUAAACUCAGUAUCUGCCUUUUGUAUCUGCUUUUUAGAUACUGAUGUUUCUCUACAGACACUAUUUGUGUCCCCUUCCCAAGAAUUGUAUUCCUUACUUCUAUUUUAUGUCUUAUUGUAUUUGUAGGAUUCUUAAACUAUGGAUCACUUUAAUGCAAACACUUUCAAGUUAACUGGAUUUAGGAAGUUUCAAAGUUCCUGCCCUCACAGUAACUAGUGACACUGCCUAAUGCCUGGGACAAAAUACCCACAGGAGAGAAUGUUUCCUGGCACUGGAAGCCUCUCUCCCAACCCAGACUUGCUGGACCCUGACACUGGAAAGAAAACAUUCCAUCAGCCUUAAAGAAAGUCUUCCGGUAAACUGGGCAGCCCCUCACAACCACUUCUAUAGAUUCAUAACUAAUACCCCGGCCCGGUCUCUUCCUCAUCCAUCCCACCUUCUUCCCUAAAGCCAGCAAGGACUCUGAUCAUGCCCCUCCACCUAAAAACCCCCACUGCAGGAUUAAGGUCCAAGUCCUUAGCUAAGGUGAACACGGCCCAUCAGUAUGCGUCCCCUGCCUUUCAUCUCUUCUCUCAACACCCCCCUGAAGGCAGCAUUCCUGGUGAGCCACACACAGCUCCUCCAAGGUAUCUGUACCACCAGGUCCUCACUAACCCUUGUCUUUGCACAUUCUGUUCCCACUUCAUAGGAUGCUUCCUUCCAUCUCACUCUUCCCCUGGCCACCACUCCUGGCUGUUUUGCUCUUCCUUCAAGAUUCUGCAACUAGAACAACCACUGAGAAAGUCACUGAAUUAUAUACAGUAAAAAAACAAAAACAAAAACAAAAACCAGAGGAAUUAAAAAGUGUGGCUACUGAAUAUUUAAAAUUCCAUAUGUGGCUCACGUUUCCAUUGGGCAGUGCCAUUCCUGACCAUACCUACGCUACUCCAGAUGCCAGUUCCCUGUGGGCUCUGACCUUGUGAACACGUGUCACAGAUUCACCAAGAAACAGGGGACAGCACCACUGGCACAGACGAAUGUGGGCCAAGCGCAGCAAAAAUCAGAUCAGAGCUCUAGAAGCUUCAGAACUCAUCAGUGACCGCAGACUGGUCCAACCCGCCACUAAGAACAGCUUCUGAACUAAAACGAGGAUGAGCACAACUUUCCUGUUUGAAACUCAGACUGGGAUACACCUGAACCUGGGGUCUCCCUCAAACGUAGUGCUGUCUCCAGGGAGACAGUGAGCAGUCUUAUUGCCACUGGGCCAAAGCCGACAGAGACGCAGCCGGGGCUCUAGUUCCCAAAGACGGAGCUGUGUCAUUUCCCACCUUGCUGCUGAGAGAGAUGCUUCUCACUGAUCCGACAUAGGGAAUGGGUUUCAGUGCUGAAUUUAUUUCGUUCAUCAGUGUGUAUAACGUGUUGUGCACAGAACACGGGGAAUUGCCUUUCCGGGGAAGACCUCUCCCUUCCUUCUGGAUUCUACCCCUCCCCCCGACUGCCCACAUUCACACACACGUCCACCUUCUCAAAGCACCAUUACUGUUGUUUACUUGCAGAGUCAACCUGGGCACAUUUGAAUGCUAGGCUAUAUUGGAGUGUUUUGCUGUCCUGUGACACAUACUGGUUACUAAAAAAGCAAAGGCACUGAACCUAUGUCAAAAACAUCAUCUGAUUAGCGGGUUAGUGGAGAGUGAAGGCUGAUGCAAUCCUAAAUAGGGCUGCCUCAGCUGCUAGGUGUGACAGGAAGCGGGCAAACUCAGGCAUUUGAAAAGAGUUAUGAGAAGUGGUUGUCAUGGCACCAAUGAAGUCUGAGGGCUGGAGCCACGUCAUGGGUAUCUGUGGCCUGACUCCUCUGUCCCAGUGUCCAGUACACAGCAAGUGCUCAAUACUUGCUGAUCAAAGACAGAAGAAGAGUUGAUUAUAGAAUAUGCAGGUCUCCCGGGCCCUGGGGUGAGCAUAUCCUGAGAAAGGAAGCGUAGCCUGGUACGAGCUACGGUCAGGCCUCGGUGUCACUACAAGCUGGCCUGAUACCCACAGUGACGCCGGGGUGUUCUCCUGUGGAACAUCAACAAUUUCACACAACUCCAUCAGACAUGGUCACUCUGCGAUUGUGGUGAAGACAAAAACCAGACGACUCCAUGAUUACAUAUCAACACAGUCAAAAUGGGAACAGUGUCCAAAUCACGGAAAGGACCAGACGUCCCCCUAUUCUGGCUGAGUGACUGCAGCUCCUUUACCAAUCCCAGAUUUGGCCUCACUCCAUUCUUCUUACCUUCUUGGUAAAAAUUUAAAAUACCUGAUCACAGAAUUCUCCUGCUUCUAACCCAGUCCAAUCUGGAGCAGAGCCCUGCUUCCCUGAGCCUUCCUCCAAAGCACCAGACACAAGCCCAAACCCCUAAGCCCCUGACUGAGACGCCCACAGCCCCGCACGGCUUGUGACUUCCCUCAUUCAAUGGAUCAAUAAAACCAAUUCUGUUCAA